GACGAACGCUGGCGGCGUGCUUAACACAUGCAAGUCGAACGAUGAAGAAGAGCUUGCUCUUCGGAUUAGUGGCGAACGGGUGAGUAACACGUGACUAACCUGCCCCUUUCUCUGGGAUAACGCUCCGAAAGGAGUGCUAAUACCGGAUACUCACAUCGAGGCACAUGCCUUGAUGUGGAAAGUUUUUCGGAAAGGGAUGGAGUCGCGGCCUAUCAGCUUGUUGGUGAGGUAACGGCACACCAAGGCGACGACGGGUAGCCGGCCUGGGAGGGCGACCGGCCACACGGGGACUGAGACACGGCCCAGACUCCUACGGGAGGCAGCAGUGGAGAAUGUUGCACAAUGGGCGAAAGCCUGAUGCAGCGACGCCGCGUGAGGGAUGAAGGUCUUCGGAUUGUAAACCACUUUCAGUAGGGACGAAGCGAAAGUGACGGUACCUAAAGAAGAAGCACCGGCUAACUACGUGCCAGCCGCCGCGGUAA
rnacentral:rRNA from 1 species